rnacentral:misc_RNA from 1 species
GAUGAAGAACGUAGCGAAAUGCGAUAAGUAAUGUGAAUUGCAGAAUUCAGUGAAUCAUCGAAUCUUUGAACGCACAUUGCGCCCGCUAGUAUUCUGGCGGGCAUGCCUGUUCGAGCGUCAUUUCAACCCUCAAGCUCUGCUUGGUGUUGGGAAUCGGCGUAGCGGCCUUCGGGCAGCUGCCGUUCCCUAAAUCUAGUGGCGGUCCCGCUGUAGCCUCCUCUGCGUAGUAGUUUUCUCCUCGCACCGGCAGCUUAGUGGUGACCUCGCCGUAAAACCCCCAACUUCUGAAAGGUUGACCUCGAAUCAGGUAGGAAUACCCGCUGAACUUAAGCAUAUCAAUAAGCGGAGGA